GGCAAAUGGAACCAGGAUCACAGGAAGGUGCUGCUCUGUCCCCACUGCAUUGGCAAACAUUAGUAGGCCAAUACCAGCGAAGUACAGAACAUGGAGCAACAGAAACUUCAAAAUUACUGGUGGGAGCAGACAUGGACAAGCCACUUUGGAAAUAAUCUGGCACUGACAGUAAGCUGAACAUGCAUCCAUGCAUGACACAGGAAUUUCAUUUCUAGGCAGUUGAGCCCAGGAGAAGCUUAUGUACUGUGUGCCAGGAGGUGUGAGCCAGAACAAAGAAGCCACGUGCUCCAGAGCUGAAGAGCGCAGCAAGACGCUGUGUAUGAUCCCCUCCGGGAGGAUGAGCAGUGAAACUGCACUGCAGCUGCUCAUGACCCUGGAGGAGGUGAACGGUGACAAAGGAAAUGGGAGGCCCCAUGGCCUGUGCAGGCUCACCCUGGCCGGCUGGCGCUGCGGAUCCCCAUGGAGCAGGAGGAGGGCCCCUCCGAGAGAAACAGUAUACGAGGAGAAUGAGAAGCUGCCGCCUGUUCACACCGCCUGUCACCUCCCUCUGUGUUGCGCCAUGCUGAGACAUGGUACCCCUCGCCCCUGGACACACACAGGGUUUUUCCCCAAUUGAGCAGAUCUCCUAUGUGACCAAAACAUACUUCUCCAAACCAGAACGUGCCCCUUCAGAUGUCCCCAGCUGUCCCAACUGCGUCUCUCCUUCCUUGUCCCCUCAGGCCCCAGCAUGGCUGGUCUUGACAGCCUGGGUGCAGCUGCUGGCACCACAGAUUGCUGAAUCUGGGCCUAACGCUGCAUAUCCAUGCUGAGUUGAUGCCAGGUUUGGAGCCCCAUGGAAAUGCUGCCUGUGUGCCUCAGACGCGGCCCCACCACUGUGCUCCAUGGGAUGUCCUGAGACCACUGUCCACUCCUGAGUCUGAGACCCUAUGAUGGCUCAUGGCAACACCAACGACAGUGAGGGUCCCAAAAGGUGGCUUUCCGUUUCCAUCAUUCCUCCCGCAUCUGUUGGCUUUCUACCAGCAGAAAGAGCUUCUCCUUUUCCCUUAUUCAUUUGUAUCAGUAUCCACUCAGUCACUUGUUUAUUCCAUAGGCUGUAACCUGUUUAAGAUCACUAUUGGUCGUGAUGCUCAAGCCCCCAGGUCUGGCCAGUAUGAGCUCCUGUAAACUGCUCCUGGUUCUUCUGACACAGCCCCACCAUUCUUUGAGGUCUUCCUACUCUCUGGCAUCAUCAGCUGUUCUAGGCUCAUUUUGUACUUCCCUGCCCAGCUCUAGAAUCAAAGGAGCUGACAGUAUUUACAAACCAGGACCUGGGCUCGUUGCUCCUGGAGCUUCAUUACUUCUAGGGCCUGUCAGUGGAAAGAGCUAGGAAGGACACACUGGUGUGUGCAGGUGCAUGAGCCACUUGCAGCCACUUCCACCCCUGUCUGUGCACACCCAUAUUCAAAACACGCAGGCACGAGCUCUCCCAGACACCUCAGUCUAGCUCUUUUGACAUCUGUCAGUCGCUUUGCUGUUGGGGAGAGACUGUGUCCCUUCACCCUCAGUGUAUCCCCUUGUUUGAUCAGCCGAUUUACAGUCUCCCAAGAGUGCCUGCUGUCCCCUCCCAGCCCACUCCUCUGUGGGCACAUGGAGCGUGACAUGGAGCUGACACAACGCAGUCAUUUAUCUGACACUGAGACUUUCCCGGGCCUAAUACCAGGCCAGGCACCUCUGUCCUUUUGGUCACAGCGUGGCGUUUAAAUGAGGGCUGGUACCCCCACGGGGGAGGCGAGAUGGGGUUUUCAGAUUCUCAAGAGCUCUAACAUGGAAAGGACUGGAUAUUCGAGCACUUUGUAUCAUCACAAUCAUUUGAAGUAACAACUAACCGCCGGCAGCACCAGAAGCUCCCUUUGGAAAUUUCCUGAUUGGCACACCUAGCAGAAGAGAGUCCCUCACUGACACAGCGUCCGACUGAAAUGUUAACAGAAAUCCCCAGGCUACAAGGCUGGACAAAAGGUGCCUGACUUUUAAAUCUUUUGAUUACAUACAGGAUGGAAAGACUGUAUCUCCAAGUCUAAUUGUGUGGAUUUUUAACCAGUUUUUCUAGACUCUAUUUGUGUUUUUGAAGUAAAUACGUCCAUGUAGUGAUACAAGCAGAAAGGAAUGCAGUGGCUAUGCUGCUGAAUUGCCUCCUGUAAACCAUAUUAGCCUAACUUUCCUGGACGUGGUCCUGAGGCUCGGACACGCAAACACAGACCUAGCGACACACACGUCUGCCCCUAAGAGUCGUCUGGUUGGUAAAAAACAAGGGAGCACAGCAACUUGCUGGCUCAGGAGGCAUCAGACCCACUUGUCUGACCCUGUGUGGGGACGGAAGUCAGAGAUCAGUCGCCCUCAGUGGAUGAACAUGGGUGUCCAGGAAGGACCCCUCAGGGGACCUGCACCAUCCACAAGACCAUCCACAAAAAUAACUGGGAACAGCUGAGGAGCUCUGUUAGAAGGAUUGCUUGUCCACAGGGAGUUAAAAAAUGUGUCCUAAAUGUUGCUUAGUAAAACAAACAACCAGAAAAGCCUCUCUAUUCCAAACCCAUGGUGGGGCAUAAACCUGGGAGAGCUGGAAUGUCAUUGCAGCACUUUGCCACAGGAGCAAAAACACAACCCCCACCAGAAGGGAUGGCCGACCAGGGCAUGACUUGCGCUGUCUUUCUGGUAGUGACUGAUGCCCCAGAACCCUCGCAAGGGCUUGUGCCAAACAUUCUCCAUGUGCCCCAGCCCCAGUGGGGUGGCCCAGCCCUCAGCACUUACCUCAUCUCCAGACCUUUGCAGAACAGACCAGCUGGGAGCCUCCAUCCUCCCUUGACCCAACUUUUCUUGUUUGUACAGACUUGGGAAGAACCAGGGAAACCCAGAGUUGAAAGAGACCCACUCUACUGGAAAUAUAUCCCAAUGGCAUUUUUAAAACGAAGAGCUGGGGAAUUUUAAUAAACAAACAGCAAAUGCAAGCAUGAAUAAUGGGCCUGUAUGGACAGGAAGAGAGCCAGGGCAGGAGACAGCAAAUGACAGGCCAGAAGCCAGAUCCCACGCCCUUCUGUUCUUGUAUGGAACCUCAAGCUAAACAUGGUUGAAAAGAACUCCAAAGAUUUCGUGACAUGUGAAAAUUACAUUAAAUGCAAACUUCAGACUUCAGUGUCUGUAAUAAAGUUUGAUUGGCACACAGCCA
ensembl:lncRNA Novel transcript, antisense to CENPP